ACAUGCGGAAUGCUCUUUACUUGCGUGCGGAAAAAAAAACCUUGCUUAAUGUUCCGAACCAACAAUGUCUGUAAUAAAAGAUUGAGGUUUCGAACAGUUUUUAUGACUCAGACCUUCGGAUUUACUGAAUUUACAAAUUACCUAAGUCUUGAGUUCAAUUGGAACACAUGAAAGGGAUGAUUUUGGGUAUGAUGGAUGUCCUGCCCUUUUCGGAUCAGAAGCAGCUGAUGACUGAACAAGAUGUGCCCUUGCCACCAUCCUCCAGAAUUGAAGCAGUGGAAUACUUUCCUUCGAAAGGCAGUAGAUAACGUUGGCAUGUGUGAAAAUAUCGAGUUGGGUCUUGCAUGACUGAAGCUUUUGGAAUCCAUACUGGGUGGCAUAUAGGAGCUCAUUCUCAUUGAGAUACCUCAUUGUGUUUUAUUUCAGAAUCAAACCAAUCUUUGGGUGAAACCAACCUUUCGGUUAAUGACAGUUUUACUUUUCUAUAACAUGUAUGUCCCGUAAAAUUAUGAUAUUAGCUUUCUUGCUGCAAAACUGCUGUGUAUUUGCUUGCUUCAACGUCACAUAUAUACUACAUCAAUGGAUGUCCAAACCAAAUGAGCUUCAUGGCCCUUUAUGAUCCACACUUUGAUUUACAAGCAAUUGUUAUUAAGAUUUAGUACUGUUUGCAAGAUAUGUUUGGUAAUAUAUUUUUUUGAAAGAUGAGAAAAACCUUUAACAAAUUUUGGUGUCACAAUGACACGCUAAUAGUUCUAGUUACAGUACAUUCAGUGUGAUUGAUUUUCAUUUGAAGCAAAGCCAUAUUAGUGUUGUGUACAGCUUAUGUUUUUUUUAUCACUCUACCAGUCUACAGUCUGUGGACACACAGUUUCUUCUCCAAUCCCAUAGAAAUAUGGGGUUACUUAUUGAGGCAAGAUAUUGAAAAUUGUGAAACGGCAAUGUAGCAAACUGCGAUUUUCAAUGGGUAUCAUCCCUGUUUCCAGUUUUUUAAUUAUUAAACUUUUAGAGUGCUUGGCUAGUCCUUACCUUCAGCAGACAAAAUAGUAAGUACUUUUGAUAACCACAUAUAAAACAACAGAAAUUAUCCCCUCUUUUGGAACCAUGGGAACGGGAUCGGUAAUCGGGAUAUAGAAAACUUAAUUCCCAUAUAUGUCGUAGCUCGUAUAUAUUUACACUUGACACUGCGUCCAUACAGAAUGAAGUAUAUGAACUAUCGAUGCCGCAGAACUAUUAGUUCUCUCAGAAGUGGUUACCAUUUUAUCUCUUAAAGGCCAGCCAUUUAGUCUCCAUAUAAUCCUAUGGUU